rnacentral:lncRNA from 1 species
CUUGCCCACAGAAGAUGACGUAUAUGUUAGGUGGCUUUCUACCACACCUGGGCCUCGGCUGCUCAGAUAACUGGACAGUAAUUUGUGCGUGUGAGGCGAUGCAAUGCGAUGCGGGGCGUUCGUUCUCCCUCUUUUGGGGAUAGUUGCGGGGAGAUCAUGGCCUGGAUGCUGCACUCAGCUCCUUGCUUGUGAACACUAAGUCUUGAUUCCCGUAUUCCCCUGUCCGAGGGGAUUCAGGAUCGGAGCUUUGAAAUCCUGCCCCGGACGUGUGUGAAUGUGUGAGUGUGUGCGCGCGUCGGGAGGGAGGGAGGAGAGAGAGGAAGAGGAGGAGGCCGCUAGAAAAGGGGAAGAAGGACGGAGGGAAGGGGCAGACAGGGGGCCCGGCGGCAGCCAGCCAGCCAGUUUGGUCUCUGUGUCGCUUAGGCAGCGACGGAGGCGGAGGCAGAGUGAGGCUCUGAUGGUUGGGGUGGGAGGCUGCAGGCGGGGAGGGGGCCGAGCCUAGCCUACCGAGCGGGGCCGGGCUGGGCUGGGCCAGCCUUUGGAGCUCUCUCUGGCGGCCACAGCUGGAGCGCGGCCAGCGGAGGCACAGACAGAGGCAGAGGCAGGGGCAGAGGCGGCUGCUACCCAGGCAGGGAUACAGGCAGGAGCAGGAGCAGGAGCAGGAGCAGGAGCCCGAGCUGGGGCAAGGCGCAGCGCACCGCCUCCGAGCGCUCCCGGCCGGCCGAUCGGGAAGCAGUCCCGCGGGCCGGAGCUCGAGCCGCGCUGCCCGCCAGCCCUGCCGUGUCCUGCCCCGUCCUGUCCCGCCGUGUCCUGCUCUGCGCCGGGCCCGUCCCGCUUGCUUCGUCUCCCUUGCUUAGCCUCCGCGCGCACGCUCCCAAGUCCCGGGCGCGGAGCCGAAGCCCCAGCCCCAGCCUCAGCCUCCGGUAGGCCGGCCGGCCGGCGCCUCCCCUCCUCCUUGUCAGGCCCCGGCUCUGGCUCCCGCAGCCCGAGGAAGAAGUGGAGCAGGACGCAGAGAAGAGGGGGCCCCGCUCCCCGCGCCUUGGCCCCGCGCCCCCUGCUGCCUCCAUCGUGCCCCUGCCCCCAGCCAUGGUGGGCCACCUGCACUUCCAGGGCAUGGAGGACAGCCUCAAAGAGAAAAGCCGGGAGGGCUUGUUGGACAGUCCCGACUCCGGGCUGCCCCCCAGCCCCAGCCCGCCCUUCUACUCCCUGACCCCCGGGAUCAUGGACAGCCGAUCUGCAGGCAGUGGCGCCUCUGCUGAGUCGCCAGGAACCGGGCCCCAUGGGGACCCCCCAGGAGGCCGUAGUGGUAAGACCGCCUUCUCCCCCUCUCUCCGUCACAACCAUUUCGGGUGCCCAGGGCAGCCAGAC